UCGAAGUGACGAUAAAGAAUUCACAGUCUGUCAAUCCACUGACAACAUUUGAGUGAUGUUAUUGUGAUAUCUCGACAGGUUCUGAUCUA
rfam:Arabidopsis thaliana chromosome 1, complete sequence.